rnacentral:rRNA from 3 species
UUGACCUCGGAUCAGGUAGGGAUACCCGCUGAACUUAAGCAUAUCAAUAAGCGGAGGAAAAGAAACCAACAGGG